UCCCACUCUCUCAUGGCAAUUAUGGCUGCACAGAAACGGAGAAAGAUUUGGGGAACCAGGAAUACAGGCAACCACUUUGGUAUAUAUAGCUAAGGUUGAGGUGAUUGUGGGCCAAUGCUGGCUGGAGGCUCAUUUUGCAGGAUUCUGGCAUGCCCUACAAUUGGGUAAAAACGGGGACUUCAGGAGGUUCAACUUGAGAGCCACUUAAGUAUUGCCAAUUUGCCAUUGCUGCUUUUAACAUGGAUUCCCCAAAAACAAGUUACCUGAAAUGCUCUGUUCAACAAAGUGAAACUAGCAAUAUCUAAUUUUAGAUACUGCGAGUUUAAUUUUGUGGACAAAAGCUGUAAUAAUGCUCCUCUAGUUUUAGCAGAUCUUGGAUGUAAAAAUUGCGCCACUGAGAUUUGGCUACUUGAUAAUUUUGUGAAAUGCAAUAUAAAUCCUGCCGCUUUUAUUUUA